AACGAACGCUGGCGGCAUGCCUAACACAUGCAAGUCGAACGAGACCUUCGGGUCUUGUGGCGCACGGGUGCGUAACGCGUGGGAACCUGCCCUUAGGUUCGGAAUAACUCCCCGAAGGGGGUGCUAAUACCGGAUAAUGUCUUCGGACCAAAGAUUUGUCGCUUGUGGAUGGGCCCGCGGUGGAUUAGCUAGUUGGUAGGGUAAACGCCUACCAAGGCGUCGAUGGGUAGCUGGUCUGAGAGGAUGAUAGGCCACACUGGGGCGGAGAUAAGGCACAGACGACCCCGGGAGGGAGGAGUGGGGAAGAAUGUACAAUGGGCGGAAGACUGAUGUAGCAAAGCCGCGUGCGGGAUGAAGGAAUUCGGUUUGUAAACAGCUUUCGCCUGCCACGAAGUGUGAGUGACGGUAAUGGGUAAAGAAGCACCGGCUAACUCCGUG
rnacentral:rRNA from 1 species